ACGCUGGCGGCAGGCCUAACACAUGCAAGUCGAGCGGUAGAGAGAAGCUUGCUUCUCUUGAGAGCGGCGGACGGGUGAGUAAUGCCUAGGAAUCUGCCUGGUAGUGGGGGAUAACGUCCGGAAACGGACGCUAAUACCGCAUACGUCCUACGGGAGAAAGCAGGGAACCUUCGGGCCUUGCGCUAUCAGAUGAGCCUAGGUCGGAUUAGCUAGUUGGUGGGGUAAUGGCUCACCAAGGCGACGAUCCGUAACUGGUCUGAGAGGAUGAUCAGUCACACUGGAACUGAGACACGGUCCAGACUCCUACGGGAGGCAGCAGUGGGGAAUAUUGGACAAUGGGCGAAAGCCUGAUCCAGCCAUGCCGCGUGUGUGAAGAAGGUCUUCGGAUUGUAAAGCACUUUAAGUUGGGAGGAAGGGCAGUAAAUUAAUACUUUGCUGUUUUGACGUUACCGACAGAAUAAGCACCGGCUAACUCUGUGCCAGCAGCCGCGGUAAUACAGAGGGUGCAAGCGUUAAUCGGAAUUACUGGGCGUAAAGCGCGCGUAGGUGGUUCGUUAAGUUGGAUGUGAAAUCCCCGGGCUCAACCUGGGAACUGCAUUCAAAACUGACGAGCUAGAGUAUGGUAGAGGGUGGUGGAAUUUCCUGUGUAGCGGUGAAAUGCGUAGAUAUAGGAAGGAACACCAGUGGCGAAGGCGACCACCUGGACUGAUACUGACACUGAGGUGCGAAAGCGUGGGGAGCAAAC
rnacentral:rRNA from 1 species